AGUGAACGCUGGCGGCAGGCCUAAUACAUGCAAGUCGAACGGCAGCACAGCAGAGCUUGCUCUGUGGGUGGCGAGUGGCGGACGGGUGAGGAAUACGUGGGAAUCUGCCCAGUCGUGGGGAUAACGUAGGGAAACUUACGCUAAUACCGCAUGCGCCCUUCGGGGGAAAGCCGGGGACCUUCGGGCCUGGCGCGAUUGGAUGAGCCCACGUCGGAUUAGCUAGUUGGCGGGGUAAAGGCCCACCAAGGCGACGAUCCGUAGCUGGUCUGAGAGGAUGAUCAGCCACACUGGAACUGAGACACGGUCCAGACUCCUACGGGAGGCAGCAGUAGGGAAUAUUGGACAAUGGGCGCAAGCCUGAUCCAGCCAUGCCGCGUGAGUGAAGAAGGCCCUCGGGUUGUAAAGCUCUUUGUCCGGAAAGAAAAGCGCCGGGUUAAUACCCUGGUGUCCUGACGGUACCGGAAGAAUAAGCACCGGCUAACUUCGUGCCAGCAGCCGCGGUAAU
rnacentral:rRNA from 1 species